AGGCUUACUUACAAGCCUUUAACCAACAAUGCAUUUUUAAUAAAUAAAUGAAUUGAUAAGUAAACAAUAAGAAAGAAAAGUAACAAAUAAUUAAAGAGCGGCAGUAAAAUAACAGUAGCGGGGCUUUUUACAGGGUAUUACGGUACAGAGUCAAUGUGGAGGCUAUAUACAGGAGGUACUGGGUCAAUGUGAAGGCUAUAUACAGGAGGUACUGGGUCAAUGUGAAGGCUAUAUACAGGAGGUACUGGGUCAAUGUGAAGGCUAUAUACAGGAGGUACUGGGUCAAUGUGAAGGCUAUAUACAGGAGGUACUGGGUCAAUGUGAAGGCUAUAUACAGGAGGUACUGGGUCAAUGUGAAGGCUAUAUACAGGAGGUACUGGGUCAAUGUGAAGGCUAUAUACAGGAGGUACUGGGUCAAUGUGAAGGCUAUAUACAGGAGGUACUGGGUCAAUGUGAAGGCUAUAUACAGGAGGUACUGGGUCAAUGUGAAGGCUAUAUACAGG